UGAGCUCAGGCAAGAACACCCGCUGAACUUAAGCAUAUCAAUAAGCGGAGGAAAAGAAACUAACCAGGAUUCCCCUAGUAACGGCGAGUGAACCGGGAAUAGCCCAACUUGAAAAUCUCUUCGGAGAAUUGUAGUCUAUAGAAGCGCCCUCUGCGGCGGCAGGAGCUCAAGUCUGGUGGAAGCCAGCGUCAGAGAGGGUGAGAACCCCGUCGGCUCUAUGCUUAGCUGCUUCACGAGGUGCUUUCCACGAGUCGGGUUGUUUGGGAAUGCAGCCCUAAAUUGGAGGUAAAUCCCUUCUAAGGCUAAAUACUGGCGAGAGACCGAUAGCGAACAAGU
rnacentral:rRNA from 2 species